GACGAACGCUGGCGGCGUGCUUAACACAUGCAAGUCGAACGGAAAGGCCCUUUCGGGGGUACUCGAGUGGCGAACGGGUGAGUAACACGUGGGUGAUCUGCCCUGCACUUCGGGAUAAGCCUGGGAAACUGGGUCUAAUACCGGAUAUGACUAUGGCCUGCAUGGGUUGUGGUGGAAAGCUUUUGCGGUGUGGGAUGGGCCCGCGGCCUAUCAGCUUGUUGGUGAGGUUAUGGCUCACCAAGGCGACGACGGGUAGCCGGCCUGAGAGGGUGACCGGCCACACUGGGACUGAGAUACGGCCCAGACUCCUACGGGAGGCAGCAGUGGGGAAUAUUGCACAAUGGGCGCAAGCCUGAUGCAGCGACGCCGCGUGAGGGAUGACGGCCUUCGGGUUGUAAACCUCUUUCAGUACAGACGAAGCGCAAGUGACGGUAUGUACAGAAGAAGCACCGGCCAACUACGUGCCAGCAGCCGCGGUAAUACGUAGGGUGCGAGCGUUGUCCGGAAUUACUGGGCGUAAAGAGCUCGUAGGUGGUUUGUCGCGUUGUUCGUGAAAACCUGAGGCUUAACCUUGGGCGUGCGGGCGAUACGGGCAGACUAGAGUACUGCAGGGGAGACUGGAAUUCCUGGUGUAGCGGUGGAAUGCGCAGAUAUCAGGAGGAACACCGGUGGCGAAGGCGGGUCUCUGGGCAGUAACUGACGCUGAGGAGCGAAAGCGUGGGGAGCGAACAGGAUUAGAUACCCUGGUAGUCCACGCCGUAAACGGUGGGUACUAGGUGUGGGUUUCCUUCCUUGGGAUCCGUGCCGUAGCUAACGCAUUAAGUACCCCGCCUGGGGAGUACGGCCGCAAGGCUAAAACUCAAAGAAAUUGACGGGGGCCCGCACAAGCGGCGGAGCAUGUGGAUUAAUUCGAUGCAACGCGAAGAACCUUACCUGGGUUUGACAUGCACAGGACGUGCCUAGAGAUAGGUAU
rnacentral:rRNA from 1 species